AGGGAGAUCUGGCUGUGACACAGGCCACCAUUUUGCCAGGGGUUGAUUCAGCUAACCUGUCUAGUAAGGUACGUGUCCUCUUUCUCCUU
rnacentral:snRNA from 1 species